GAUGAAGAACGUAGCGAAAUGCGAUAAGUAAUGUGAAUUGCAGAAUUCCGUGAAUCAUCGAGUCUUUGAACGCACAUUGCGCCCCCUGGUAUUCCGGGGGGCAUGCCUGUCCGAGCGUCAUUGCUGCCCUCAAGCACGGCUUGUGUGUUGGGCCGUCGUCCCCCUCCUAGGGGACGGGCCCGAAAGGCAGCGGCGGCACCGCGUCCGGUCCUCGAGCGUAUGGGGCUUCGUCACCCGCUCCGUAGGCCCGGCCGGCGCUUGCCGACGACCAUCAAUCUCUUUCUCCAGGUUGACCUCGGAUCAGGUAGGGAUACCCGCUGAACUUAAGCAUAUCAAUAAGCGGAGGA
rnacentral:misc_RNA from 1 species